rnacentral:rRNA from 1 species
UACAGAGGUCUCGAGCGUUGUUCGGAUUCAUUGGGCGUAAAGGGUGCGUAGGUGGCACUGUAAGUCGGGUGUGAAAUCCUGAGGCUUAACCUCGGAACUGCAUUCGAUACUGCGGUGCUUGAGGACUGGAGAGGAGACUGGAAUUCAUGGUGUAGCAUGAAAUGCGUAGAGAUCAUGAGGAAGACCAGUGGCGAAAGGCGGGUCUCUGGACAGUUCCUGACACUGAGGCACGAAGGCCAGGGGAGCAAACGGG